UCAACUGUGACGAAUGAAGAUGGAGAGAAGGUAAUAAACAAUAACAUAGCGAAGAAUAAUUCUGAUGUCGAUCCUAAAAUCUACUCUCUGCCCAACAAGAACAUACAAUUAUAACUUUGCAACAAAUCCUCCUCUGGAUUACUCUCCGUCUUCUAUAAGCCCACGCAAAUAUUCAAUCUUGGUUUAAAUGUAAUUAACUUUCUGGCCGGCAUACUUAUAGCCUUCGUCCUCAACCGACGUGCCCCCCCAAUAGACUGUACUAUUUGGUUCGUCUUGGAGGGCAAGACGAACAAGACUUAUCACCCGAAUUUCGAUAUCCUGAAGGCCGUGAUAACGGAGGAAUGGAGCAACUUGUCUUCGAACUUCAUCAAGGCUGUGCUUCUGUUCGUCCUCGCAUUGAAGCCAUCAUUCAGAAUGGAGGGGGACACAUUGAAUAAAAUUGUAGAAAAUUGUUGAAUUACCAACUUUUGCUUCAAAAGUUUGCUAUAAAAAUGGCCCAAAAUAAAAAUAUGUAGAAGUGAAAAUGAGGUUUAAAAUUUUCUAAUUUUUGAGUCCUCACCCUAUAUACGGAGUGGGAUUUGUGUUUAUUUCCUUCCUCUCAUGAAUACGUGCAGCUGAUCUAACAAAAUGUCAUGACAACUAUGAGUCUCUCCUACCAAAUAUUUUUGAAAAUGUCAGGAUUAUCACAUUCAUUAUCGGUUUCUUUAAUUUUUACGUGUCGGCAUAUUUUAUGCAUCACUGAUUUUAAACCCAGAAAUUUAAGGAUAAUGUAUAUGACAAUUUAUUUAUUGAAAUUAACAGAUAAAUUCACAAAUCUUUAGCUGUUAUAUGUAGAGCUCCAUAAUGAAGUAAAUUAUUCAAACUAACCUAGUCAUGAAUCUGAUUGAUAAGGAACGCCUUGUCCAUUUUGGAAAAUCCCUCGAAAAUGGAAGCCAGCAAGGAAUCGACAGUGUUAUGUUUAUUGGACUCUUUCACCAAGACGACCACAUAUAAUAGCCUAAAGGCUUCAUAUCCAGCGAUCUAUGAGGCCAUAUUUCUUAUAUUCUCCAACUUCAGGAAGUCUGGAGUGUGUUUUUUUCUCUCAGAGCUAUCAUGACUCUUCCUCGCACGUUUUCCCGUCCCAUCAGACUCCUUGAAAGCCUUAACAAUAUUGUAAACAAUUUAUUUGAGCAUCUUCGUAAACUCAGUAAUCUCCUUGGGUGUGCACCAGGCAUGGAGGCAAACAAUACCUCCCGGAAUGCCGAUCAAAUACAACUUCCCGGGGAAUGUGAUAACAUAGUCGGAACGUCGAUCAUAUUAUGUGCAUACAUUUUUUUAAAUUGAAAUAACAUGCGCUGCUCAUGAAAUUCAAUACAUUUUUCCUUCAGAAUGUCAAUAAUAGUGUGUAACUAACUAAGAAGUAAAAGUGUUUUCAGGUACUCCGGCACUGGAUUAUUGAUGGAUUAAACAGUACUAUACUAAAGCUAUAAACCAAGUGGCAAAAUGAAGGUUGCGUGAUUAAUAUUUGUACAAAUAUGUUGUUGACUUAGUUGACACUAAUUUCAUCAAGAUUUAAUGGUUAUGGAAAAACACUAUGGGGGAAGAUGGGAUGUGCAUAUACUAGCAGACUAUUGCUGGAGCAUAGAAAGAGAUUGUGGUGAGACUGAACAUUUUUACCUUAAAUUAUGAAUAUUAAAAUAUAUCUACUCGUUUCAAAAUUAUAUUUCGUGUUCUUACCAGUGUAUUUGAGAUAUCCUUGUCUUCAUAUUAUAAAUUUUUAGUACCUAUUAACUCAAAGUAAAAAGAUUAUUAAAAAGAAUUAAAUAUUUAUUAGUAAUUGAUAAAAUAUCUAUGCUGAAUUGGUUAAUUUCAAGUCAUAUAUUUCACAUUUCAAGUCAGGCACUACAGCUAUAAUUGAAUAAAAUAAAAGACUUGAUAUGACAUAUGUAAUUAUAAUUAAGUAAAAUAUUAGG
rnacentral:lncRNA from 1 species